GAUUCAUUAGCUCAGCUGGUAGAGCACAUCCCUUUUAAGGAUGGGGUCCUGGGUUCGAGCCCCAGAUGGAUCA
rnacentral:tRNA from 2 species